rnacentral:rRNA from 1 species
UACGGGGGGUGCAAGCGUUGUCCGGAAUCAUUGGGCGUAAAGAGUUCGUAGGCGGCACGUAAAGUCUGGUGUUAAAGGCAGAGGCUCAACUUCUGUACGGCACUGGAUACUUGCGAGCUAGAAUGCGGUAGAGGUAAAGGGAAUUCCUGGUGUAGCGGUGAAAUGCUUAGAUAUCAGGAGGAACAUCGGUGGCGUAAGCGGCUCUCUGGUCUGUAACUGACGCUGAGGUUCGAAAGCGUGGGUAGCAAACAGG